GCAGGAGUAGCCGAGCCUGGCCAAAGUAAGCAACAAAAAUUGCUUUUGGAUGCGCGGGACUUAAGAUCCCGUCUCUUAGGGGUUCGUGGGUUCAAAUCCCACCUCCUGCA
rnacentral:tRNA from 2 species